AGGCCACACUACAAACACUGCUGUGUCAUUUUGUCUCUCUGUGCAGGCCAGGGCCUAUUAUAUGCCACAGCCUAAAGGCAGCAGAGUUGCAGAGGCUGGAGUGACCACUGGCUAUCUACUUGCAGGGUGGUGGGUCUUAGAGGACAACUGCUAACCCUGUUGAAAUCAACACGUGGAGUGCAACUGAUAGUGUGGCAUAGCUGGCUCUGGCCUUCGGACUGUGUGUUUUUACUUGAUUGAUAAAUGGGGCACUGGACUCUUUUAUCUUUUGAUUAGUUGUCAAUAAAUUCUUUUAGAAUUUUAUUGACUGUCAUCUUUUUGCCCACGGCUGAGACAGUUGGUCAGACCUAGAAUCUUUUUUUGGGUGUGUUACAUGGCCCCUUCGAUUAGUGAGCAAUAGAAUCUUGUAGACAGGUUAAUAAUGUGAAUGACUGUCGAAUAAAUCCAUUCUUACUUGUGCUGCA